GGCCUAGUUGUGUGAUCUUGGGCAAGUUACUUAACAUCUUUGAAUUUGUUUCUGUACUUGAGAAAUGGAAAAGAGGGGCUUGUGAAUAUUAAAUGAGGUUUUUUUUCUUGACAAAAAUACUAGCAAGAAGCCUGGCUCAUGAUCAGUGCCCCACAGUUUGAGGAUAUGUAUUUGCAGACAGUCAAAGCCUGAGGGGAAAAUUCAAUUAGGCAUGAAUUUCUAAGCCAGUAAAGUUCUCUUUGAGAGCACUUUCCCCUCCAAUUAACAGAUAGGUUCUCACUGUGUGGCCUAGGUUGGCUUCAGCACUGGCCUCAGCCUUCCCAGCAGCUGGGAGUACAGGUGCAGCUUCAAGUUCUCUUUGGAUCUUUGGGAAGAAGCAAGAGGAAAAGAGGUUAGCAGGCCAGAAGAGGCAGAUUACAACUUUGAUGCCUCAUUUUCAAGACCCUUCACGUACCCACCCACAAGAGUUUCCUCUCUGCUUGCAGAACUUGGUGGUGCCUGUUUCCGGGGUCAGCGCAGCGUCUGACUGUUGAAUAGGUGACCCCGACUGCAUUUCAACCAACUCCGACCCCAGCACCCGGAGAUCUCAAUGCCUGAAUGAGCCGGAAUGAUGCGGAAGUGCGGCCUUACUGGCCGCCAAAGGAACUUUUCAUGUCGCUCCUGGGCCUCCCCGCGUGAGUUUCGGACCCGGGUCUGGUCCCUGGAAGGACGCGAGUAGGCAUCGCCCGGGUCGCACCAGGUUGCUGCUGGGUUGGAGCGCCUCCUCUACUUUUGUGCCGACAGUAACAACCCCCAAAAACUUCACUGAAAGAUCCAGGAAUCGACGAUGGGGCCAACCUGUAGCAGCACCUGCCAAGAAGCAACCGGAUGGAAAUGCAAAUUCUCAAACUCAAUAGCUUUCGCGUCUGACCUUUUUACAGGACCUUGCAUACACACAGCUACUCUUUUCUUAGGCUUUCCUAUAACAGUUGCCCAACAAUAGUGCUGACUAAUGGUAAGAGCCAGCAAGUACUCUCAGCGCACGGAAAUGAAAAAAGUUGUAAUAAGGAUGAUAAAUUAAUAAAAAAAACAGAAACUUUGCCAUUUGGAUCCUUGGGUACCAAACUGUGCGGAAAGGCGGGAGAAGGAGUCUCAGGGUCCGGACCCAAGGGACGUUAAGAAAGGAAAGGGGACAGAA